rnacentral:rRNA from 1 species
AGCAGCCGCGGUAAUUCCAGCUCCAAUAGCGUAUAUUAAAGUUGUUGCAGUUAAAAAGCUCGUAGUUGAAUUUCGGGGUCAGUAGAUUGGUCGUGCCACUGGUAUGUACUGGUCUCACUGGCUCCUCCUUCCUGAUGAACCGUAGUGCCAUUAAUUUGGUGUUGCGGGGAGACUGGACUGUUACUUUGAAAAAUUAGAGUGUUUAAAGCAGGCUAACGCUUGAAUACAUUAGCAUGGAAUAAUGAAAUAGGGCGUUCGAUCUUAUUUUGUUGGUUUCUAAGAUUGACGUAAUGAUUAAUAGGGAUAGUUGGGGGCAUUAGUAUUCAAUUGUCAGAGGUGAAAUUCUUGGAUCUAUUGAAGACUAACUACUGCGAAAGCAUUUGCCAAGGAUGUUUUCAUUAAUCAAGAACGAAAGUUAGGGGAUCGAAGACGAUCAGAUACCGUCGUAGU